GAAGGAGAAGACACAGUUGUUGCUGCGGAGGAACAACAGCCUGUUGCUGUUCCUGUCUCUCCUUCGGAUAAGGUCACCAUGCCCUUCCAGGCGGAUGGAACUAUGAAUGAAACGUCUAUUCCUAAUGUGACAAAGGCCUUAGAGGGAACGGAGGGA